rnacentral:misc_RNA from 1 species
AACUUUUGACAAUGGAUCUCUUGGCUCUGGUAUCGAUGAAGAACGCAGCGAAAUGCGAUAAGUAAUGUGAAUUGCAGAAUUCAGUGAACCAUCGAAUCUUUGAACGCACAUUGCGCCCGCUAGUACUCUAGCGGGCAUACCUGUCCGAGCGUCAUUUCAACCCUCAAGCACUGCUUGGUGUUGGGGCCCUACGGCUGCCGUAGGCCCUGAAAGGAAGUGGCGGGCUCGCUACAACUCCGAGCGCAGUAAUUCGUUUUCUCGCUAUGGACGUUGCGGCGGUGCUCCUGCCGUUAAAGGCCCCCCAUUCUUUAACCAAAGGUUGACCUCGGAUCAGGUAGGAAUACCCGCUGAACUUAAGCAUAUCAAUAAGCGGAGGCU